GCCGAAAUAGCUCAGCUGGGAGAGCGUUAGACUAUAGAUCGAAAGCUCCUGGUUCGAACCCGGGUUUCGGCA
rnacentral:tRNA from 1 species